CGCCGAUCCCAAGCAGAGCAAACCAUCAAAAGUUACAAGAGCCAGUUAGAGUGCUUUUUCUGUAAGAAGCUGGGUCAUUGAAAAAGGAAUUGUCCUGCUUAUAUAGCCACCCUUGACCCAAAUAGACCUAAGAACAAGAAAAAGAGGCAAGUGGUUGCUUCACAAGGUAUUUAUAUGAUAACACCUUGUAAUUUCUCUGUUUGUGAUACUAUUACUUGGGUAUUGGAUACUGAAAGUCCUAUUAAUAUAUGUAAUUCAUUGCAGGGACUGCAGAUAAGUAAAAAAUUUUGAGAGGACGAGCGGUUCCUUAACAUUAGAGAUAGAAGCCUUGUUCCAGUUCUGAUCUUGAAAACCUUGUAGCUUGUCUUCGAGUCCAGUAGUGUCAUGUUAGAUGGUUGUCAUUAUUGUCCCUCCUUUAUGAUGAAUAUCAUUUCUGUAGGCCUUUUAGCCAAACUUGGUUACAAGUUUAUAAUAAAGGAUAAAUUUUGUGAUAUCAUUGUAAAUGAUACUAUAAUUUUGCGUGGAUAAUUAAAAUAUGACAUAUACAUAAUAUCAUGGCCUGUUAAUGUAAUGUACACACUUAGUAAAUGUUCCAAAAUAGAUAAUGUCAGCGAAUCCUAUCUUUAACAUUGUAGGCUUGAUCAUGUGAACAAGAAUAUAAUUGACAGGUUGAUUAAGAAAUAUGUCCUUGAGAUAGAUGAUUGUGAAUUAUUGCCUACC
rnacentral:lncRNA from 1 species